AAAAUUUUAGUUUAAAUAAAAAUUUUUCAUUUACAUUGAAAGGAUUAAUUAAAAAUUAUUAAAAUUUUA
rnacentral:tRNA from 1 species